AUACCUACCUGACAGGGAAGACAGCAGGACCACAAAGGUGAUUUCCCAGCUGAGGCUUAUCCACUGCACUGGAGAUGUGCUGACCUCUUCAGUUCCCCAAAUGCGGGAAAUUGCAUAAUUUGUGGUGGCGGGGGACUGCAUUUGUGCUCUCUCCUG